CAGGGAUGAGGAUCUUAGGGAGGGCAAAGUUACAAGGCUGCUCUUGAUUUAUUAUUGAAUUGUGUUGCGCUUUCUUGCACUGCCAUAGCGUCAUCAGCUGGCUGACUAGCUGGCUGCAACCUGGUGUCUGAGAAUUUCGUAUUAUUCUUUAAGUAAAUCUGGGCGACCUAAUUUAUUUUGUAUGUUAUGUUUCAUAUGGGAGGAAGUGUAUCAGUGGUGACACAAUGUGGACCAACUGGUUCCUGCACCUCGACUCUCACACAGUGAGCCAAACAAGGAAGAAGGUGGGCAGAGCCAAGCACAAGGAAGCCAGAUUCUAUUGGCCUGUUUCAGCAUGUAUUUGCAUAUUUCCCUUAUGGAAUGGCUACUCCCUGAAAAUAACUUGGAUUAUCCUUUUUAAGAACUUAAUUUUUUAGAAAGGUUGGCAAAAAAAAUGAGUGUCUUUUGGGAGAGAGAGGAGGGGACCACUGCCUCUAAAAUGAGUGUCUUUGGGGAGAGAGAGGAGGGGACCACUGCCUCUAAAAUGAGAACGACCUACACGUUGAAGCUGUGGGGAGAGACCAGACUCCCCUGUACCCAGCUGUGUAUCCAUGAAGAGUGAACAGUCUAUGGGGAAACCAAUCAACUUCAGUGUUGGACACUUCUCUACUAGCAAGGAGACCAACAGGAGAGAUCAGAAGCAGAUAUUUCCAGUGGUCAGUCUUCCCAAAGUCAUACAACAGACCUGGACUCGAUAUUCCUCAUGGGGCGGCAGGCAGCCUAGUGGUUAGAGCGUUGGACUAGUAACUGAAAGGUUGCAAGAUCGAAUCCUGGAGCUGACAAGUCACUUGAAGAGACUGUCAUCACUUUAGUGAAGAAAGAACUGAAGAGUUUCAAGAGGAUUCUGAGUCCAGAUCUCCCAGAAUGCUUAGAGUCAGAGAGAGGAUGCUGAAGAUGAGAAGCAGGAGAGCAGGGCCAGAGAGGAUCACACUUCACUUCCUGAGGAACAUGAAACAUAAGUCUGUUUAUUGAUGCUUUAUACACGGUUUUGUCUUUAGAUGUGCUUCUUGACAACAUAAACUCAAAUCCAACCUGAAGAAGAAGUUUCGGUGUGUGUUUGAAGGAAUAGCUGUCCUAGGAAACCCAAG
ensembl:lncRNA